UGCACGACCAAGACUUUGAAAAACAGAGAGAAAAGAAAACAAAAAACCAUUUCUUGGCUGGUUUGAAGAGAUUCUAAGGAGAUCCAAGUGAAAUCAAAGCCAAAGAAGUGGAUUAAGCUUAGUUUUGGUCUUUUUAUGAUAUUUCUUGGUGGUUUCCAAGUGGUUUGAGGUUUAGAAAAGCUUGAAGAGAUUAUUUUCGCCGAAAAGUUGCUCGGAUAAGCACAUCAACACCUAAGACACCACUUGUUACAUGGUGAAAUAUAUUUUGGACAGAAGUGUGUGGCUCCCUUAACUCUUGAGCUCAACGGGGCAACGAUGGAAUAAGGUUUUUAAUGUGCCCUACUAUGGUGAUGGCUAGCCGGAGGAGAACCCAUGGGAUUUUAUAUUAUAUCAAUAACAGCCCUGCAGGCAUUGACCAAUUCAAACAAUGUGCACAAUAUUAAGGGGCCCAAAAUUUAAAAAGAAGUUGUGUAGAGAAAGAAAUGAGUGAAUGACAUAAGGAGAACUGAAGCAUGGUCCUGACCCUGAUUUGUACAUAUGAACAUAUCGACCUUUUUGUGGGUUAUUUCAGUUAUCAGUGUAAUGUUUGUAAUAAAGUGUGAAGUUAUGUUUUGAAAACAGAUUUGGUUAUUUAAUACUUAUGUAUAAUAUGUUUGAGAUACACUUUAUGUUUAAAGUAAAUAAUGUGAAAUAAGUUUUUUUU